AUGGUAAGCACGAUAACCUUUUUGAGUUGAUCCAUACCCAGCAAAAACACAUUUGAUAGCUCGUUCUUCAAGCUUUGUACGUUGAUGUGGUGUAAGUGAACAAAUAUAACACAUCCAAAAACAUGAGGUGGUAAAUAAACCAUGGAAGGAAGGAUACAAUGAUCAUCUAGAGGCCUUCUAAAGUUAAGCACACUAGAAGAGGUUCGAUUAAUAAAAUAAACUGUAUAUCUCAC
rnacentral:lncRNA from 1 species